rnacentral:rRNA from 1 species
GACGAACCGAGCGAACGUUGUUCGGAAUAACUGGGCUUAAAGGGCGCGUAGGCGGGCCGCGUGGUCCGAGGUGAAAUCCUCCGGCUCAACCGGAGAACUGCCUCGGAUACCGGCGGCCUGGAGGGGGGUAGGGGCACGCGGAACUGUGGGUGGAGCGGUGAAAUGCGUAGAUAUCGUUUGGAACGCCAAUGGUGAAAACAGGUAACUGGGAGUGUGCCGACGCUGAGACACGAAAGCCAGGGGAGCGAACGGG